rnacentral:rRNA from 1 species
GACGAACGCUGGCGGCGUGCCUAAUACAUGCAAGUAGAACGCUGAAGGAGGAGCUUGCUCUUCUGGAUGAGUUGCGAACGGGUGAGUAACGCGUAGGUAACCUGCCUGGUAGCGGGGGAUAACUAUUGGAAACGAUAGCUAAUACCGCAUAAGAGUAGAUGUUGCAUGACAUUUGCUAAAAAGGUGCAAUUGCAUAACUACAAGAUGGCCCUGCGUUGUUUUAGCUAGUUGGUGGGGUAAAGGCUCACCAAGGCGACGAUACAUACCCGACGGGAGGGGGGGCACGGCCCCCCUGGGACUGAGACACGGCCCAGACCCCUACGGGGGGCAGCCGUAGGGGAUCUUCGGCAAUGGACGGAAGUCUGACCGAGCAACGCCGCGUGAGUGAAGAAGGUUUUCGGAUCGUAAAGCUCUGUUGUAAGAGAAGAACGAGUGUGAGAGUGGAAAGUUCACACUGUGACGGUAUCUUACCAGAAAGGGACGGCUAACUACGUG